ACUCAAAGGAAUAGACGGGGGCUCACACAAGCGGUGGAGCAUGUGGCUCAAUUCGAAGCAACGCGAAGAACCUUAUCCUGGACUUGACAUGGUUGAAGUACGACGUGGAAACACAUAGGACCGGUAUCCAAUCCGGAACAAUCACAGGUGCUGCAUGGCUGUCGUCAGCUCGUGCUGUGAAGUGUCGGGUUAAGUCCCAUAACGAGCGAAACCCCUAUCGUUAGUUGCCAGCGAGUAAAGUCGGGCACUCUAACGAGACUGCCGGUGUUAAACCGGAGGAAGGCGGGGAUGACGUCAAGUCCUCAUGGCCUUUAUGUCCAGGGCUGCACACGUGCUACAAUGCCGAUGACAAACCGAUGCAAGACCGCAAGGUGGAGCAAAUCGGAGAAAAAUCGGCCCAGUUCAGAUUGAGGGCUGCAACUCGCCCUCAUGAAGUUGGAAUCGCUAGUAAUCGCGGAUCAGCUAUGCCGCGGUGAAUGUGUUCCUGAGCCUUGUACACACCGCCCGU
rnacentral:rRNA from 1 species